ensembl:lncRNA
GCUCAAAAGCAACGUGCACGGCGUGCACCGCCCUGCGCUCUCCGUGCACCACUCCGCGUUUCACUGUUAAGAUUCAUGGCGAGCUCUAAAAGUCGCCUGGAAGCUCGAGGCUCGCGCGCACCUCCCCGCGUUGUCCCGGGCGACGCUUAAGGCCGUGACCAUGACAACUGGGGGGGGGGGGUGGCAGAGGGGAGCGCUGGAGAGAGGAGGGAACGGUGGUCUGGUUGUGGUCGGGAGGCGGGGGGAUCAUUUAACUCACCACACGCUAUGAAAGACCCCCUUGUUGGGCCACAGAACCACAGAAUCCCCCACAAACAUCCGUCACACACACACACACACACACACACACACACACACACACACACACACACACACACACACACACCUUCAUUCACAGCUGCCAUAGAAACACCAACAGGCCAAGCUGUUCAUCUCACGCACACGCAUGUAGUCUCUGUACAUCAUGCAAAGAGAUAACAGCUGAUCCGACAUUAGAAAGCAAAUAGUGACACUCAAACGUUACACCCUCGGCAUUAUGGGUAAUAGACUGCAACACGCCACCUGACGGUCUGCAGGGAUUCUCUCUCCUUCAGCCACGGGAGCACACGUGAUGUAUAAAACAUAAGCGUGUGCAGUCAUAAUAACCGAUUAGUCCACACAGAGAAAAAACGUCCUCUUUUCUUCGUUGGUCCCUUUUCUCGCACACAUUAGUUUCACAUUAAGAUUUAUUCACCACUGUGAGACAUUAAGUAAAUCAUUCAAGCGAUUAAUCGAGAAAAUAAUCUGCAGAUGAACCAAUAAUGAGAAUAAUCAGUUUUGGCAAAAUAGACUUAAAAUAGAGGCGUGUUCGGGUUAAAUAUAAUUUAGCAUUAAGUUGUUAAAUUACUGUAGAAAAAAACAUCCUCUUCGUUCAUCCACCUUCUGUAUUUGUUCUCUGCUGGUUCCUCACUUACCCACAAUGCACCAAAGACUGUGUGUGUGAGCAGCCCCGAGCAGGAACGAGCAACACGCUACAGAAGAACCUCAAGCGCCCGCUGCCUCGAGGCCCCGAACCGAGGCCCCGAACAGAGGCCCCCUAACAGAGGCCCCGAACCGAGGCCCCGAACAGAGGCCCCAAACCGAGGCCCCCGAACAGAGGCCCCGAACAGAGGCCCCCUAACAGAGGCCCCGAACCGAGGCCCCGAACAGAGGCCCCCGAACAGAGACCCCCAAACCGAGGCCCGAACAGAGGCCCCCUAACAGAGGCCCCCGAACCGAGACCCCCAAACCGAGGCCCCCGAACCGUGGCACCAAACCGAGGUCCCCUAACAGAGGCCCCCAAACUGUGGCCCCUGAACAGAGGCACCAAACCGAGGCCCAAGGCUCAAGUGACAUCAACCGAGGCGACUUCUUUUUGCACAUAUAGAGGAGCAGCUUUGAUGUGUAGAAAGCGUUGGAGCUCCGCCCCCCCCGAACACCAACAUCUCUGUCUGGUGUGGCUCAGUGUGUGUGUGUGUGUGUGUGUGUGUGUGUGUGUGUUACAGCGUCAGUGGAGAGCAGAAACCGAGCCCAGGAGAGCGGCCACAGCGGAUGAGGUGUCUUCUUGUUUCCCCGCGGCCGCCGCAUCGUGAUGCAGAAUCACUCAGCCACGUCUCCCCCUCUGUGUGUGUGUGUGUGUGUGUGUGUGUGUACGUGUGUGUGUGUGUGUGUGUGUGUGUGUGUGCGUGUG